rnacentral:rRNA from 1 species
CUGGCCGUAAACGAUGGAUACUAGGUGUUAGAGGUAUCGACCCCUCUAGUGCCGAAGCUAACGCAUUAAGUAUCCCGCCUGGGGAGUACGACCGCAAGGUUGAAACUCAAAGGAAUUGACGGGGGCCCGCACAAGCGGUGGAGCAUGUGGUUUAAUACGUCACUAACCGUAGAACCUUACCCAGGUUUGACAUCUGGGGGAUCCUGCUGAAAGGUGGGAGUGCUUUGUAAGAAGAACCCCAAGACAGGUGU